rnacentral:tRNA from 2 species
GCCGGGGUGGUGGAAUUGGUAGACACGAAGGACUUAAAAUCCUUUGGGACUUAACUCCCGUGCCGGUUCGAUUCCGGUCCUCGGCA